rnacentral:rRNA from 1 species
GGGUUGUGAGGUUAAGCGACUAAGCGUACACGGUGGAUGCCCUGGCAGUCAGAGGCGAUGAAGGACGUGCUAAUCUGCGAAAAGCGUCGGUAAGGUGAUAUGAACCGUUAUAACCGGCGAUGUCCGAAUGGGGAAACCCAGUGCAAUUCGUUGCACUAUCGUUAACUGAAUACAUAGGUUAACGAGGCGAACCGGGGGAACUGAAACAUCUAAGUACCCCGAGGAAAAGAAAUCAACCGAGAUUCCCCCAGUAGCGGCGAGCGAACGGGGAGCAGCCCAGAGUCUGAAUCAGCUUGUGUGUUAGUGGAACGGUCUGGAAAGUCCGACGGUACAGGGUGAUAGUCCCGUACACCAAAAUGCACAGGCUGUGAACUCGAAGAGUAGGGCGGGACACGUGGUAUCCUGUCUGAAUAUGGGGGGACCAUCCUCCAAGGCUAAAUACUCCUGACUGACCGAUAGUGAACCAGUACCGUGAGGGAAAGGCGAAAAGAACCCCGGCGAGGGGAGUGAAAAAGAACCUGAAACCGUGUACGUACAAGCAGUGGGAGCACCUUCGGGUGUGACUGCGUACCUUUUGUAUAAUGGGUCAGCGACUUAUAUUCUGUAGCAAGGUUAACCGUAUAGGGGAGCCGCAGGGAAACCGAGUCUUAACUGGGCGUUAAGUUGCAGGGUAUAGACCCGAAACCCGGUGAUCUAGCCAUGGGCAGGUUGAAGGUUGGGUAACACUAACUGGAGGACCGAACCGACUAAUGUUGAAAAAUUAGCGGAUGACUUGUGGCUGGGGGUGAAAGGCCAAUCAAACCGGGAGAUAGCUGGUUCUCCCCGAAAGCUAUUUAGGUAGCGCCUCGUGAAUUCAUCUUCGGGGGUAGAGCACUGUUUCGGCUAGGGGGUCAUCCCGACUUACCAACCCGAUGCAAACUACGAAUACCGAAGAAUGUUAUCACGGGAGACACACGGCGGGUGCUAACGUCCGUCGUGAAGAGGGAAACAACCCAGACCGCCAGCUAAGGUCCCAAAGUCAUGGUUAAGUGGGAAACGAUGUGGGAAGGCACAGACAGCCAGGAUGUUGGCUUAGAAGCAGCCAUCAUUUAAAGAAAGCGUAAUAGCUCACUGGUCGAGUCGGCCUGCGCGGAAGAUGUAACGGGGCUAAACCAUGCACCGAAGCUGCGGCAGCGACACUAUGUGUUGUUGGGUAGGGGAGCGUUCUGUAAGCCUGCGAAGGUGACCUGUGAGGGUUGCUGGAGGUAUCAGAAGUGCGAAUGCUGACAUAAGUAACGAUAAAGCGGGUGAAAAGCCCGCUCGCCGGAAGACCAAGGGUUCCUGUCCAACGUUAAUCGGGGCAGGGUGAGUCGACCCCUAAGGCGAGGCCGAAAGGCGUAGUCGAUGGGAAACAGGUUAAUAUUCCUGUACUUGGUGUUACUGCGAAGGGGGGACGGAGAAGGCUAUGUUAGCCGGGCGACGGUUGUCCCGGUUUAAGCAUGUAGGCUGAUUAUCCAGGCAAAUCCGGAUAAUCAAGGCUGAGGUGUGAUGACGAGGCACUACGGUGCUGAAGUAACAAAUGCCCUGCUUCCAGGAAAAGCCUCUAAGCAUCAGGUAACAUCAAAUCGUACCCCAAACCGACACAGGUGGUCAGGUAGAGAAUACCAAGGCGCUUGAGAGAACUCGGGUGAAGGAACUAGGCAAAAUGGUGCCGUAACUUCGGGAGAAGGCACGCUGGUGUGUAGGUGAAGUCCCUGCGGAUGGAGCUGAGACCAGUCGAAGAUACCAGCUGGCUGCAACUGUUUAUUAAAAACACAGCACUGUGCAAACACGAAAGUGGACGUAUACGGUGUGACGCCUGCCCGGUGCCGGAAGGUUAAUUGAUGGGGUUAUCCGUAAGGAGAAGCUCUUGAUCGAAGCCCCGGUAAACGGCGGCCGUAACUAUAACGGUCCUAAGGUAGCGAAAUUCCUUGUCGGGUAAGUUCCGACCUGCACGAAUGGCGUAAUGAUGGCCAGGCUGUCUCCACCCGAGACUCAGUGAAAUUGAACUCGCUGUGAAGAUGCAGUGUACCCGCGGCAAGACGGAAAGACCCCGUGAACCUUUACUAUAGCUUGACACUGAACAUUGAGCCUUGAUGUGUAGGAUAGGUGGGAGGCUUUGAAGCGUGGACGCCAGUCUGCGUGGAGCCAACCUUGAAAUACCACCCUUUAAUGUUUGAUGUUCUAACGUUGGCCCCUGACCGGGGUUGCGGACAGUGUCUGGUGGGUAGUUUGACUGGGGCGGUCUCCUCCCAAAGCGUAACGGAGGAGCACGAAGGUUAGCUAAUCCUGGUCGGACAUCAGGAGGUUAGUGCAAUGGCAUAAGCUAGCUUGACUGCGAGCGUGACGGCGCGAGCAGGUGCGAAAGCAGGUCAUAGUGAUCCGGUGGUUCUGAAUGGAAGGGCCAUCGCUCAACGGAUAAAAGGUACUCCGGGGAUAACAGGCUGAUACCGCCCAAGAGUUCAUAUCGACGGCGGUGUUUGGCACCUCGAUGUCGGCUCAUCACAUCCUGGGGCUGAAGUAGGUCCCAAGGGUAUGGCUGUUCGCCAUUUAAAGUGGUACGCGAGCUGGGUUUAGAACGUCGUGAGACAGUUCGGUCCCUAUCUGCCGUGGGCGCUGGAGAAUUGAGGGGGGCUGCUCCUAGUACGAGAGGACCGGAGUGGACGCAUCACUGGUGUUCGGGUUGUCAUGCCAAUGGCACUGCCCGGUAGCUAAAUGCGGAAGAGAUAAGUGCUGAAAGCAUCUAAGCACGAAACUUGCCCCGAGAUGAGUUCUCCCUGAGACUUUAAGUCUCCUGAAGGAACGUUGAAGACGACGACGUUGAUAGGCCGGGUGUGUAAGCGCAGCGAUGCGUUGAGCUAACCGGUACUAAUGAACCGUGAGGCUUAACCUUACAACGCCGAAG